rnacentral:tRNA from 2 species
GCUGUGAUAGCUCAGCGGUAGAGCGGAGGAUUGCAGCUCCUCAGGUCAUCCGUUCAAUCCGGGUUCGCAGCU